rnacentral:rRNA from 1 species
CAAGACCUAUCGCUUUCGGAGUGGCCGAUAUCAGAUUAGCUAGUUGGUGAGGUAAAGGCUCACCAAGGCGACGAUCUGUAGCUGGUCUGAGAGGACGACCAGCCACACUGGGACUGAGACACGGCCCAGACUCCUACGGGAGGCAGCAGUGGGGAAUUUUGGACAAUGGGGGCAACCCUGAUCCAGCCAUGCCGCGUGAGUGAAGAAGGCCUUCGGGUUGUAAAGCUCUUUCAGCCGGAAAGAAAUCGUGCAGAUUAAUACUCUGCAUGGAUGACGGUACCGGAAGAAGAAGCACCGGCUAACUACGUGCCAGCAGCCGCGGUAAUACGUAGGGUGCGAGCGUUAAUCGGAAUUACUGGGCGUAAAGCGUGCGCAGGCGGUUUUGUAAGACAGACGUGAAAUCCCCGGGCUUAACCUGGGAACU